ACUUUUCUAGGAUGGUCGCGUACCAGGUGCCAAUGUACCACAGGUGGUACCCGUACCACUGGUUGCCUACCUCUGCUCUAGUGGGAAAUAUGAUUCAGCUGACUUUUAAUUUACAGAGCAAACCCAGGUUGCUAAGGUGGCUGAGUUUUAGGAGUUUGCUUAAUUUUAGGUUUUCUGAAAUAAUUCCAUUCUCCCCUCUGAAUCAGUGUUUUUCAUUAAAAAUGUAUGGACUUCAACUCCCAGAAUUCCUCAGCCAGCAUAGGGAAUUCCCCAGCAUGCUGGCUGGGAAAUUCCAAAUCCACAUACCUUUAACUGGUUGAGGUUGAGAAGCAUUGCUCUAUGUCAGUGUUUCCCAAACUUGACAAUUUUAAGGCAUGUGGACUUCAACUCCCAGAAUUCCACAGCCAGCGUUGCUGGCUGUGGAAUUCUGGGAGUUGAAGUCCUCAUGCCUUAAAAUUGUCAAGUUUGGGAAACACUGCUCUAUGUAAUACUGAAUAUUCAGAAACUGGUCCUCAGUGUUGAAAAACUUGGGCAGUUUAUUGUCCCUUCAUUGAUGCUGUUUAUUUCUCAGUAGCACCAUCCCAUUUUAAUGAUGAGUUCAGGUUGUGAGGGAGGAUUUUUUUAAAAUUGCUUUUUUUUUACUUUUGUAUUAGUUUUAAUAUUUGCUAUGUUCUUUAUCAAUUCCUCCAAGAUUCUUAGCAUUGUGAAUUUUUAUCCUUUCUCUUUUCCAGCUAAAAUUCCAAUUGUGAAGUUUCUUUCCUCUUGGAUGUAUCUUCCCAGCUAAGGGAUUUUUAUUUCUAUAUGGUUUUCUAAUUAAAUGUAUAUGUAUUGUAUAUAGAGCAAAACUUAAAUUUAUAAUCGUAAUAAAACUAUUUUAGUAGAGCC